rnacentral:rRNA from 1 species
CCUACGGGGGGCAGCAGUGGGGGAUAUUGCACAAUGGGGGAAACCCUGAUGCAGCAACGCCGCGUGUGGGAAGAAGGUUUUCGGUAUGUAAACCUCUGUCCGUGGUGAAGAUAAUGACGGUAACUGACUAAGAAGCUCCGGCUAACUACGUGCCAGCAGCCGCGGUAAUACGUAGGGAGCAAGCGUUAUCCGGAUUUACUGGGUGUAAAGGGGGCGUAGGCGGUCUUGCAAGUCAGACGUGAAAAUCUCGGGCUCAACCUGUGGACUGCGUUUGAAACUGUGGGGCUUGAGUGCAGUAGAGGUAGGCGGAAUUCCCGGUGUAGCGGUGAAAUGCGUAGAGAUCGGGAGGAACACCAGUGGCGAAGGCGGCCUGCUGGGCGUUAACUGACGCUGAGGCACGAAAGCAUGGGUAGCAAACAGGAUUAGAUACCCGAGUAGUC